rnacentral:lncRNA from 1 species
AAUUUUCUUCUGUAUUUAUUUAUUAAUCAAAAGAAAAAUGCUUACUUGACACUUUUCUUUCUAUAGAAUUUUCUUCAAUCAAAUUUCUACAGACUUUAUUUAUGUUGAAUUGAGUGAAAUAAGAUCAAGUCGGAAUACCAUGAGAAACUCAAUUGAAAAAUAUGAACAAUAACUUUGAUAUUACUCUAAAGUCUUAUCAUUUAUGUCUAAGAGGAAGUCGGAAGACUCGUCAUUUAAUUGCUG